UAUGAUUUUAGAUGUUGAAAU
rnacentral:piRNA from 1 species